rnacentral:rRNA from 1 species
AUUGAACGCUGGCGGAAUGCUUUACACAUGCAAGUCGAACGGUAGAGGGGGCAACCCCUUGAGAGUGGCGAACGGGUGAGUAAUAUAUCGGAACGUGCCCAGUCGUGGGGAUAACGUAGCGAAAGUUACGCUAAUACCGCAUACGAUCUAAGGAUGAAAGCGGGGGACUCGCAAGAGCCUCGCGCGAUUGGAGCGGCCGAUAUCAGAUUAGGUAGUUGGUGGGGUAAAGGCUCACCAAGCCAACGAUCUGUAGCUGGUCUGAGAGGACGACCAGCCACACUGGAACUGAGACACGGUCCAGACUCCUACGGGAGGCAGCAGUGGGGAAUUUUUGGACAAUGGGCGCAAGCCUGAUCCAGCAAUGCCGCGUGAGUGAUGAAGGCCUCGGUCGUAAGAC